rnacentral:rRNA from 1 species
UACGGAGGGUGCGAGCGUUGUCCGGAAUCAUUGGGCGUAAAGGGCGCGUAGGUGGCCCGGUCAGUUCGUGGUGAAAGCGCGGGGCUCAACCCUGCGUCGGCCAUGAAUACUGCCGCGGCUGGAGCACUGUAGAGGCAGGCGGAAUUCCGGGUGUAGCGGUGGAAUGCGUAGAGAUCCGGAAGAACACCGGUGGCGAAGGCGGCGACCUGGUCCUUUUACUGACGCUGAGGCGCGAAAGCGUGGGGAGCGAACAGG